GCGCGACACCCAUCCGGAGGCGAUUCCGUGGAAGGAUCGCGUCCAAAAUAAAAGGGCCCGAGACCUAUGCUUAUGUAAUUCCUAAUCCGUGAUCUUUUCUGGGGGCUGAACUCCCCUCCACCACAGCCUGUUAUCAGAUAAAUUAAAGGAAGACUGGAAAGAAGAACUAAUCCAUGGCUCCAUCUGCCCAUGACUAUUCUCUGCUGACGCCAGAGGAUAAAGAGAUGGCACACGACAUGUUCCAACGCAGUGGAGAUGGGGAGACCCCGCAAGUCCACAGGAAAAGAGUGAAGUUGCUGCCACUUGGGCAUCUGCUAUUCUCUGCUCUUCUGCCUCAUCCUCAAUUCAGACCAUGAUGGAGCUGAUUUUCCCCCAUUUUAUACCUUGGAUUGAAUGUGUCUCGAGCUGCUGGUCUUGUCUCCAGUCACAUCCAAGAGGUUUGUCUUUCAAAUAAAUGCUGUGUAUCAGUG